rnacentral:rRNA from 1 species
GACGAACGCUGGCGGCGUGCUUAACACAUGCAAGUCGAACGGAAAGGCCCUGCUUUUGUGGGGUGCUCGAGUGGAGAAAGGGUGAGUAACCCGUGAGUAACCUGCCCUUGACUUUGGGAUAACUUCAGGCAACUGGGGCUAAUACCGGGUAGGAGCUCCCGCUGUUUGGUGGGGGUUGGAAAGUUUCGGCGGUUGGGGAUGGACUCGCGGCGUAUCAGCUUGUUGGUGGGGUAGUGGCUUACCAAGGCCUUGAAGGGUAGCCGGCCUGCGAGGGUGACCUGCCACAUUGGGACUGGAAUACGACCCAGACUCCUACGGGAGGCAGCAGUGGAGAAGAUUGCACAAUGGGCGGAAGCCUAAUGCAGCAACGCCGCGUGCGGGGUAACGGCCUGCGGGUAGUAUUCCACUUUCGCCUGUGACGAAGCGUGAGUGACGGUAAUGGGUGAAGAAGCACCGGCUAACUACGUG